UACGGAGGGGGCUAGCGUUGUUCGGAAUUACUGGGCGUAAAGCGCACGUGGGCGGCUUUGUAAGUUAGAGGUGAAAGCCCAGGGCUUAACCCUGGAAUUGCCUUUAAGACUGCAUCGCUCGAAUUGUGGAGAGGUGAGUGGAAUUCCGAGUGUAGAGGUGAAAUUCGUAGAUAUUCGGAAGAACACCAGUGGCGAAGGCGACUCACUGGACACAUAUUGACGCUGAGGUGCGAAAGCGUGGGGAGCAAACAGG
rnacentral:rRNA from 1 species